AGUGAACGCUGGCGGCAGGCCUAACACAUGCAAGUCGAGCGGCAGCGGGUCCUUCGGGAUGCCGGCGAGCGGCGGACGGGUGAGGAAUGCAUCGGAAUCUGCCCUGUCGUGGGGGAUAACCUCGGGAAACUUAGGCUAAUACCGCAUACGACCCACGGGUGAAAGCGGGGGAUCGCAAGACCUCGCGCGAUAGGAUGAGCCGAUGUCCGAUUAGCUAGUUGGCGGGGUAAAGGCCCACCAAGGCGACGAUCGGUAGCUGGUCUGAGAGGAUGAUCAGCCACACUGGGACUGAGACACGGCCCAGACUCCUACGGAAGGCAGCAGUGGGGAAUAUUGGACAAUGGGCGCAAGCCUGAUCCAGCCAUGCCGCGUGGGUGAAGAAGGCCUUCGGGUUGUAAAGCCCUUUUGUCCGGGAAGAAAUCGUCUGGGCUAAUACCCCGGGCGGAUGACGGUACCGGAAGAAUAAGCACCGGCUAACUUCGUG
rnacentral:rRNA from 1 species